rnacentral:rRNA from 1 species
GACGAACGCUGGCGCCGUGCCUAAUACAUGCAAGUAGAACGCUGAAGGAGGAGCUUGCUUCUCUGGAUGAGUUGCGAACGGGUGAGUAACGCGUAGGUAACCUGCCUGGUAGCGGGGGAUAACUAUUGGAAACGAUAGCUAAUACCGCAUAACAGUAGAUGUUGCAUGACAUUUGCUUAAAAGGUGCAAUUGCAUCACUACCAGAUGGACCUGCGUUGUAUUAGCUAGUUGGUGGGGUAACGGCUCACCAAGGCGACGAUACAUAGCCGACCUGAGAGGGUGAUCGGCCACACUGGGACUGAGACACGGCCCAGACUCCUACGGGAGGCAGCAGUAGGGAAUCUUCGGCAAUGGACGGAAGUCUGACCGAGCAACGCCGCGUGAGUGAAGAAGGUUUUCGGAUCGUAAAGCUCUGUUGUAAGAGAAGAACGGGUGUGAGAGUGGAAAGUUCACACUGUGACGGUAUCUACCAGAA